rnacentral:rRNA from 1 species
GACGUAGGGCGCGAGCGUUGUCCGGAUUUAUUGGGCGUAAAGAGCUCGUAGGCGGCUUGUUGCGUCGGCUGUGAAAACCCAUGGCUCAACCGUGGGCUUGCAGCCGAUACGGGCAGGCUAGAGUUCGGUAGGGGAGACUGGAAUUCCUGGUGUAGCGGUGAAAUGCGCAGAUAUCAGGAGGAACACCGGUGGCGAAGGCGGGUCUCUGGGCCGAUACUGACGCUGAAGAGCGAAAGCGUGGGGAGCGAACAGG